rnacentral:rRNA from 1 species
AAUUUGCUCAUAUUUUCAACAAUCCAAAAACCUGAUUAUAGGCAAUUUACUCCGAGUGGUUUUGCUGCGCAUCUAAAGCCGCCUGCCUUUAAGGGGGCGCAAUAUAAGAGGUGGAGCACGAGAGCAGUCUACUGGUUUCAGACCAUGGGCUGCUAUGAUGCCACCAAGGGAAAGCCUGAGGGCGAUCUUAAUCCAGCACAGCUGGAAGCUUUUGAGAAGAUCGAUACCCUCUUUAAAGGUGCUCUUCUGAGUGUUCUUGAUGACUCCAUUGUGGAUUCGUAUAUGUCGUUUGACAACGGCAAGGACAUGUGGGCUGCGCUCGAGGCCAAGUUUGGUGCCUCGGACGCUGGCAGUGAGUUGUACGUCAUGGAGCAAUUCUAUGACUACAAGAUGACUGAUGAGCGCCCUGUUGUACAGCAGGCUCAUGAGAUACAGUCGCUCGCAAAAGAACUUGAGUACUUCAAGUGUGUGUUGCCGGACAAAUUUGUUGCCGGAGGCAUCAUUGCCAAGCUUCCACCUUCGUGGAACAAUUUUGCUACUUCCCUGAAACACAAGAGACAGGAGUUUUCCGUUGCAGAUCUCAUUGGUAAUCUUGAUGUUGAAGAGAAGGCGAGAGCAAAGGACACACGUGCUCGAGUUGCUGAGGGAGGUUCUAGUGCCCACAUGGUACAGAAGAAGAACUCCCAGCCCAACAAGUUCAAAAACAAUAAGAACAAAACUCAGGGCAAAGGCAAGUUUGAUACAAAGAACAAGCCAUCACAUUCUACCAACUUCAAGAAGAAUUCUCAUAAGAAGGGGAAGGGACUUUGCCAUGUCUGCGGUGAUCCUAAUCACUGGGCUCCGAAGUGUCCUAACCGCUUUGAGGAGCGCGAACAUGAGAAGAGCGGCAAGUCUGCUAAUGUUGUCAUCGGUGAUAUUGAUAUGAAGGAAUCAGGGUACGGUAUUUUUCCUACCAUCCUUUCAGUAUUUCAAUCCCCUGAUUGGUUAAUUGACACCGGUGCCAAUGUACAUGUUUGUGCUGACGCCUCCAUGUUUUCUUCUUACCAGGCAACAGGGACUUCACCUGUGCUGAUGGGGAACGGGUCACAUGCCAUCGUUCUAGGUGUUGGUACGGUCGAUUUGAAGUUUACUUCGGGGAAGACUGUGCGUCUGAAGAACGUUCAUCAUGUGCCGUCCAUCAAUAAAAAUCUCAUUAGCGGUUCCCGUUUAUGUCGAGAUGGUUUUAAGUUGGUUUUCGAAUCCAAUAAAGUUGUAAUCUCUAAGUGUGGACAAUUUUUUGGAAAAGGCUAUGAGUGCGGAGGCUUGUUCCGCCUAUCUUUGUUAGAUAUUUGCACUAAAGUU